CAGUGGGGCGUAGGGUGAGCGGGGUCCGGGCGGAGCAGGGCUCCCCGGUCUUCUCCUCGCCCCUGCGGCCCCGCGGGUGCCGGGGGCCUGUGCAGACCUACCCCGGGGGGACGCGCUCUCUUGGGAAGCGCCCCAGCUUCCAGAGGGGGUGUGCCAUCCCCCGUGGCCCUGGCCUGUCCAGUGCCCGUGGGUUACAGAGCGCAGAAGGAAAGGCCUGGCUUCGCCGCAGGCUGUGUGUUAUCCUGCGGGGGAUCUAGGUCAGGAACGACAUCCUGAAGGGACUGAUACACAUCCAUCUUGAACCAGUGUAAGAAGGUCUGUUGGAGUGAAUCUGCAAACUUUUGUCUAUGGCAGCACAGAUUAGAGUUUAAAUUCCUUGGAAGAAAUAGCUUGAACCAGAAGAUACUGCCCAUCGAUUGCAAGAUGCACUUGAUUAGAUAAAACAGUAAAAUACCUCUUCUGCAAGAGGCAGAAGUUUCUGAUUUCUGCUGAACUCACAACUGUGUGACACUCAUGAAUAUGGAGCUGCAGCUUUUCCCUGAUAUCCUUGUUGCUGCAUGAUGUUCAGAAGUCUCUCAAUUGCUCUCUUUGGAAAGUUGUAGGGUUACAGCACUGCUGGGCAUUCAUCUUUGCUCUAGAAGAACAUAGUGGAUUUUUUUUUCAUUAGUAUAGCCUUUUUGAUUUUUUAAAAUAUUUCUAAAACACAAGGAUAAAGGUGUGUCAAAGUGUACACCAAACCUAAUAUUAAAGAUCUCACCACAAAGAGGUGUU